CCUACGGGUGGCAGCAGUGAGGAAUAUUGGUCAAUGGGCGGAAGCCUGAACCAGCCAAGUCGCGUGAGGGAAUAAGGCCCUACGGGUCGUAAACCUCUUUUGCCGGGGAGCAAGGGCCGGGACGAGUCCCGGUCCGGAGAGUACCCGGAGAAAAAGCAUCGGAAAACUCCGUGCCAGCAGCCGCGGUAAUACGGAGGAUGCGAGCGUUAUCCGGAUUUAUUGGGUUUAAAGGGUGCGGAGGCGGGCUUUUAAGUCAGCGGUAAAAAUUCGGGGCUCAAACCCGUCCGGCCGUUGAAACUGGGGGCCUUGAGUGGGCGAGAAGAAGGCGGAAUGCGUGGUGUAGCGGUGAAAUGCAUAGAUAUCACGCAGAACCCCGAUUGCGAAGGCAGCCUUCCGGCGCCCUACUGACGCUGAGGCACGAAAGUGCGGGGAUCGAACAGGAUUAGAUACCCCAGUAGUC
rnacentral:rRNA from 1 species